rnacentral:misc_RNA from 1 species
GAUGAAGAACGUAGCGAAAUGCGAUAAGUAAUGUGAAUUGCAGAAUUCAGUGAAUCAUCGAAUCUUUGAACGCACAUUGCGCCCUCUGGUAUUCCGGGGGGCAUGCCUGUUCGAGCGUCAUUAUAACCACUCAAGCUCUCGCUUGGUAUUGGAGUUCGCGAUCUCGCGGCUCCUAAAAUCAGUGGCGGUGCCUGUCGGCUCUACGCGUAGUAAUACUCCUCGCGAUUGAGUCCGGUAGGUUUACUUGCCAGCAACCCCCAAGUUUUACAGGUUGACCUCGGAUCAGGUAGGGAUACCCGCUGAACUUAAGCAUAUCAAUAAGCGGAGGA